rnacentral:rRNA from 1 species
GAUGAACGCUGGCGGCGUGCCUAAUACAUGCAAGUCGAGCGAACAGACGAGGAGCUUGCUCCUCUGACGUUAGCGGCGGACGGGUGAGUAACACGUGGAUAACCUACCUAUAAGACUGAGAUAACUUCGGGAAACCGGAGCUAAUACCGGAUAAUAUAUUGAACCGCAUGGUUCAAUAGUGAAAGACGGUUUUGCUGUCACUUAUAGAUGGAUCCGCGCCGCAUUAGCUAGUUGGUAAGGUAACGGCUUACCAAGGCAACGAUGCGUAGCCGACCUGAGAGGGUGAUCGGCCACACUGGAACUGAGACACGGUCCAGACUCCUACGGGAGGCAGCAGUAGGGAAUCUUCCGCAAUGGGCGAAAGCCUGACGGAGCAACGCCGCGUAAGUGAUGAAGGUCUUCGGAUCGUAAAACUCUGUUAUUAGGGAAGAACAAAUGUGUAAGUAACUAUGCACGUCUUGACGGUACCUAAUCAGAAAGCCACGGCUAACUACGUG